AGUAUGAACUGACCCAUGUUUUUCAAGAGCACGGCACGAGUUUAGAGCAGUGCAUCGUGAUAACUCGAGAACUCGACGACAACUUGGAUGAUUUGCGAGCAGACGAAUAUGCGGAUGUGACGUAAGGAAAACCGCGCAAAAGAACCUGGAAUGUCUGCAAAAGGCUCCGAAAACUGAAACAAGAAAUAUUGCCUCAAUAGGUAUCGGAUCAGUACAUCUUGCCGUUCCAAACCUCUUGGGUUCCGGGAGGUGUCCGUGUAGGCGGUGGCCGGAUGCAUCAAACAUACCUAGACAGGAUGGGAAAGCACGUUUAUGACGUAAUCAAAAGACGUCUGCUUAAAGGCUUCAAAGAAGAAAGUCACGAUCACAAAAAGCAUUCAAAACUGUUUGAUGAAGUUUCAUAGCAUGUUCUCUUUUAUCAACAGAGGUAACACAAGGUUUACGGAAGGUCGGUGGUUCUAUCCAGGUGCCCGCCCGUGAUGAAAUAAUGCACGGAGGGGCACCUGGGUUUUUCCUUCACCAUUAAAGCUGGAAAGUCGCCAUAUGACCAAAAAAAUAAUCAAAAAAAAUAAUUCCGUACAAACGAAACUCUAUUUAAAUAUGGUACUUGUGUAGAUAUUUAUAAAAGACAUUACAUAGGUGUUAUUAACAUCCACAUUAGUAAUUCUUUGACGGCUGUGAAAAGCUGCCCCGUACCUGGACUCUGACAGUGUUGUUGUGAUUGUUGUUUCUGUUAUUUCUAUUCCUUUAGGGACAUUGAGUUCUUUCAAUGCUGCUUUAUAAAGAGUUCCGCUUUAGCCGGUGUAGGGGUGUAUUGCAAUUCUCAUUACCUCACACGAACAGACACGGUAAGUUGAUAUAUGCUUCCAAAGUAUUUAUUCAUAAAUAUGAAUAUUCACAUUCUUUCAGAUCUCAGAAUUAUCAGGGCAUGAAAGAAACGUUACAUGUUCCACGUGUUAUUCUGUUCUUGUUGUACAUGGGCGCUCGGGCUGUGGAAAUUCGUCUGUUCUUGCUAAAGCAGAAAAAGAAAUACAUCGAUGACUUAGAGGCCAGAAUGUUGCGACUGAGGUACGGUCUUUUGGUUCAACGAAAGAAUCCACAAGUAUUCGGAACCUCUUGUACAAUAUCUGUCAACAACUUUUCCUGAUAUACAACGCAGAAUCCAGUCAAGUACCAACGGUACGUAGAAUUAAAUACAUUGCUUCGAUUUUAAAGUUAAAAAAAGCUUUAGAUUUUAUAUUGAAAACAGAUGAAACAGCCAUCCAAAUAGAAGUAAUGCAUACUUAUAUGGUUACAAAGCGCUACUUUCAAUGCUGCACAUUAACUUUUACAUUUAAGGGAGGAGGUAUUUAAAAAAAAGAAAAACAAUAUAUUAAAUAAAAACUUUCUACUUUGCUCAGUAGUAUUCAAACCUUUGACAAAUACUGAAGAAAACAAUAAUGGUAAAUACUUUAAAUAGGACUUAACACGAAAUUGGUGUAUUUUAAGUUCAUAACGGAAAAAAGCGGCUACCACAUCUGAAAAAGGUAUUAUGAGCCUUAAAUAAUUUCAGUAAACAACAAUGUUUAAACGUGCCUUGUUAAAUUGCAAGUAAAUAAAACAUCACUAUGAUAAUUGGUAAAGUAAGCAGAAUUCUGUAUCCAGUAUCAAGUUGUUAUGUACGUAUACACGCAAUACGUUCCGAAUGAAAACCCCUUUGUUCUUAAAUCUUUUGUUCAAUGAAGCUUUGAAGUGGGCGACUUACACUGUCCUGGAGUCAAAGGUACCCGAUUCAGUGAAAAAAAUGGCGGCAAUCAAAUUUGGGCAGUUGGAGAUGAAAUACGGCGAAGCACUUGUUCGUUGAGCUAUAGGUUACAUAGCAGUAUCACGGAAUGGAGUGAUGGACCACGAGAUGUUAGACCUCUUUUCAUUGGUUGACGCGGUUAUGGGUGAAAUUGCUCCACAUUACAACUUGUUUCAUUGUGGUAUCGCAUCCUAGAAGAGUUGUUCCUAUACAUACAGGAGGUGAAAGCGGACAAAAUGGUCCCAUUCCCAUUUCUGUGAGGCAGCCAAUCCAGCGUGACAAGGCACCGUCAUACCAUAAAGUGAUGGCAGAUUAUUUCCUUGACCUAAACCCCUACCUUGGAAAUGACAAGGGUGUUUUGCGAUACGUGUCCGAACAACCGCUCUACUUGGAAUCGAAAGAUGCGAUCAACGACGGCUCUAUGCAUGUUUACAAACUGCAAAAAUUUAAUGAACUCCCACAUCAUUUACUCUUGUCGAAUUUAGUGCAGCAACACAAAACUGAGACAAUGUGCGGUUUUGAAUGGGCACUAGCCAAACUAUGCGGAACCUCUCUCCGAAGUCUCGUAAAAGAGUACCACAUUGGCAUUGAAAUGGAGCCGUCCUACCUUGACCUUAAAUUAAUGUCGGAUACUCUUCAGCUUUCAGCAACAGCAAUACAACGCGAUCCACGACAGUUGGCCGGUCAAGUGGUUGGGUGACUGCAAGGUGUUGUAAACAGGGAUAUUCCCUCCACUCUCGGAGAUCCACCGCGGUACCCGUUUAUACAUUCAAUGGUAACACAAGCAAAGAAUACGUCGAUACCAGCACUACAGUUCCAUCUAUAGAGUGUCUUACAGAAACUGGAGGUAUAUUGUAUGACUUUUUAUCUGGUCACACGAAGCUUAUAACUCCUGUUACAACGAUCACAGACGCACAACGAGCCUUAACUGCAUCAGAGGACUGCAUUUAAGAAUAAAUAUAUAAUUUCAGAAGAAGGUAGUUUCAUUAAAGUGUGGUCACUGGCAGACAAGGAAUGUUGUUUACUUGUUGACCAGUACUUGGACCCACCUAUUUUAAGUGAAGCCGGGGAAGGAAAACUUCUUGUAGCGUUCUUUCAAGGAGUGCAUUGAAAACAUGGGUCUGAGUGAUCAAUUCAGGCAUGUAUGCGAAACGAAAAUUGAAGGCGACAGUGUGUUUAUUGACAAUUCUGUCGUACUCGCUUCAAAUUCAUAUGGCGGUCACGUGUUGCUCGCGUUUAGAGGAGCAAAUUCGGCGAUGAUCCAGCAUGCGCAAAACUCACGCAUUGGGACAGAAGAACUGAAAGCAACGCCGCGAGACAGAAACGUCGAGAGAAGGCGCGGGAAAAAGAGAGAAAACAUCUGGAAGAGAUUCUGAAAAAGAAGCAAAAUGCAUUUGCACAGUUCAUUAUCAGUGGAGACUUAAAUGGUAUUGUUGCGUUCGCACAUCACUUAUACGUCUUUAACGUAGAUUCGAAAUUGCACAUGCAGACAUUAGAGAAUGAAAGUUCAAUGUUGUUUCUGCGGCCUUGAACUAUGAUGGCAGUUGUCAUGUUCAUACAAACUAUGACGAAACAUCAAAAGUGAGUUAUGUCACAUUAUGGGAUACUGAAACAGGUCAAGUAAAGAAGCGUCUUAAAAAACGAAAUUGAUGUUCUUGCUAUUGCGAUAACAGAUGAUGGUUCCCGUAUUGUUUUUGGAAAAGCAAACAAAGAAUUGCGCAUUUGGGAUCCAAAUAGAAAGACCCCAGAUGCUAUAGAGAGGAUUAAAGGCUACGAUAGUUUGGAAUUUGGUGUUGGAAGACAACUAAUUACCCUCAACAAUGGAAAACGUGUUGUCGUUUUUGCAGGUGAUAUUUCUGUUUGGGACUUAAAGAAUGCCACCCUUUUGGCUGCCUUCACACCAGAUACACGAACCGAGGUAGUGAAUGCUGUAAUGAGCGGUCAGCUGAUUACAAUAGGCGUGCACGAAUUUUACGAACUCGUUGUUCUGAAAAUAAGCGGGAAAGAUGUUAAAGCGAUUUUUGAUGUUGAACAUGAAGAAUUGUUCGGAGAAAUAACUGGUGACACAUCUGAUGAAGAAAAUGAUGAAGAUAAUGAUUACAUUAAAUUAAGUUUAAAGCAACUACACGUAGGUCGAUGAAAAUGUACAGUGUAGAUCUAGUUACAAAUUUAUCAGUGAAUGCAAAUGGAUUUCGUUGUCGCCUAUCUCCGGCAUGGCGCUAAACAGGCGUCGUUGUAAAUAGGUAUCGUUGAAAGCAGUCAGGUAUUGAAACAAGAAUAGAACAAAUGUUAAAUAUGGCGGACAAACGGAUUACAUAAUUAAUAUAUGAAAUAGCUGUACAUGAUGUUAAUUCGAUCGAACAAGUUUUAAGUUAGUUCCGGCCGCUGAAGUAAUGAUAACUUGAUGGCAAUGGUGGUGCAUACUAAAAAAACGGAAAAGAAAAGGUGCCUAAAAGAUUCUUUAAAGAUAUACCAUGCUCGUGUUUCACUAAAAUAUUUUAUUAUAAGAUAUCGACUUAAAUGUAUAAAAGUGGAGCCGCAAUCACAAUAAAUAUUAUAUCCAGUAACAGUAAUGCGUUAAAACCAGUGGUGUAAAAUAUUCCUAAGUGUUAUAUACAAUUAUUUAGUGUGUAGAAUUUUAAACCUAAUACACUGUACUGUGUAUUCACACUAACCUGUUUAUUCUUUGUCUACAUAAUUACUGUAAAAAUAAUUGUUAAAGAUUUGGGCAUAAUGCAUCUUCAAAGAAACUUAAUUACAGUUUGCAAUUCAGUUGAACAUGCAUUUGUUAAUUUUACAUUGCUGGGUAUACCUGCAGACAAUGGUAGCUUAUAAAGUUAUAUAUUUGUAAGUUAUUUCGCUGUUUUUUUUUUCUGUAUAAUUUUCUGUCUAUUUUAGGAAUGAUACAUAUACUUAUAUUUGAACUGUUUAAAUUUUGAA